UACGAAGGGUGCAAGCGUUAAUCGGAAUUACUGGGCGUAAAGGGUGCGUAGGCGGCCUGUUAAGUCGGAUGUGAAAGCCCCGGGCUCAACCUGGGAAUGGCACCCGAUACUGGCAGGCUGGAGUGCGGUAGAGGGUGGUGGAAUUCCCGGUGUAGCGGUGAAAUGCGUAGAGAUCGGGAGGAACAUCCGUGGCGAAGGCGGCCACCUGGACCAGCACUGACGCUGAGGCACGAAAGCGUGGGGAGCAAACAGG
rnacentral:misc_RNA from 1 species